rnacentral:rRNA from 2 species
UUAUAUGGUCAAGAAGAGAAGCGCAAACGGUGGAUGCCUUGGCAGUAAGAGGCGAAGAAGGACGUGGAAUCCUGCGAAAAGCUAUGGGGAGCUGGAAACGAGCGUUGAGCCAUAGAUGUCCGAAUGGGGGAACCCGGCUGCAGCGAUGCGGUCAUUUGCAUUUGAAUACAUAGGAUGCAAAGGCGAACUCGGGGAACUGAAACAUCUAAGUACCCGAAGGAAAAGAAAUCAAGAGAGAUUCUCCAAGUAGCGGCGAGCGAACGGGGAGGAGCCUGGCGUGAUUUAUUAUUGAACUGAGUAGAACAAUUUGGGAAAGUUGGCCGAAGAGGGUGAAAGCCCCGUAUACGAAGGUUUGAUGAGGAACUAGGCACGCGAACAAGUAGGCCGGGACACGUGAAAUCCUGGUUGAAGAUGGGUGGACCAUCAUCCAAGGCUAAAUACUACUUACUGACCGAUAGUGAACCAGUACCGUGAGGGAAAGGUGAAAAGAACCCCGGAGAGGGGAGUGAAAUAGAAUCUGAAACCGUUUGCGUACAAGCAGUGGGAGCAUGGUUUAGGCUGUGUGACUGCGUACCUUU